UAGGUAAUCUGCUCUCUCCAGAAGGUUCUGCUGGUUCUUUCAGCUUUGGGUACCCAGCUCUGCAUUGUGUUGCCAUGAUGGACCACUGUCCUGUGCUCAUGCUCAGCCAGAAUACAAACUGUGAGUAUGGAAGAAAAGUUCAAUCUGCAAACAUCAGUGCUGCUAAGACUAUUGCAGAUAUCAUCCAAACAUGUAUGGGACCCAAGUCCAUGAAGAUGCUUUGGGACCCAACAGGAGGCAUCAUGGUGACCAAUUAUGGCAAUGCCAUUCUUCAAGAGAUUCAAGCCCAACAUCCAGCAGCCAUGUCCAUGAUUGAUAUUAGCGGGACCCAGGAUGAAGAAGCUGGAAAUGGAAACACAUCAGUAAUUAUUCUUGCUGUAG
rnacentral:lncRNA from 1 species